GGGCAAGCAGUUUUUGUCUUUGCUUCAAAACACUUGCCCGACUCUAACUUUUACUUGCCCCGGGCAAUCGGGCAAGCGCUUAUGUCGCACCCUGAUAUUUGUUAUAAAUGUGAAAAUUGAUACUCACCAAAAAUUAGCAUUCUACUAGUUUAAUAGAGUUCAAGGCAAAAACAUUAAAAAAAAAAAAUUUGGGCAAAUUUCAUAUGCUUAUUUGCAUAAUUAAUUAAUGAAAAAAUAUAAACAAUUAAUUUUUGUCUUGUAAAUUUGAUGCAGAAGUACAUGAAAUUGCUGAUAGUACACUUAAUUGCAUGUAAAAUCAAAUGCACCCAAAUGUGCGGAAUUCUACUACACAGUCUGCUUGCGUGAGUGGCUGUAUAAUAGAAAACAUAAAGUUCAACAAAUCCACACUUUAAAUGUUUUGAAUAGCAAAUAUAGGCUAAAACCAUGUAAUAUUACAGUUUUAGUAGUUUUAGUAUAAUUCUUAAUUGAUCAUGCAGUGUUCCAACUUACCCCAUACCAUGUUUCAACUUACCCCGUAUUGGGUAAGUUGGAACGUUUGCGAUGGUCUUAUUGAAGGGCAAGGCCGGGUGGGAUUAACAUUUUCGGAGCUCUUUCAGGUCGGUGUUUACCUGUGAAUGUAAUACAAUCAUUGAUCAUUUUUGACAAAUUACCUCAGUAACAUCACUUUCAAACCUGUAUCAAGUAUUCAAAAACUGUUGUCAUCAUUGUUUUCUUGUCAUUUUGUUAUUAUUACAUGUACUUGGGUAUUCGAGUUAUCCCAACGUCAUAAUCGGGAUCUGCCGAACAUUCGAUUAGUGUAAAUUUUGCUAAUCGAUUGGCGAUCGGCGGCAAGCCAUUCGAACCAUUCAAUCAAUCGAUGUUUACUCCCAGGCCUAGUACGUAUGUACACGAACGAUCGCAAGCCCGCCAACUCUCGAGCUAGAUCGCGCUGAAUGCAUGCAAGCUUCAGACUGACUCGGCCAGGACUCGGCUUCAACUUCAAACCAAAUAAACAAUGAGUUGUCAGACUAGAAUAGGCGACUUUUGUCGUCGCGAUCGGCGACCAGAACAACUUGAACAAGAGUCAAGAAAAAGAAAUGCCGAGGCCAGCACCAGUAAAUCAAGUUCAGCCAGGACAGAAAAGAAUAAUUAAGAGCAAAAUAAAUUUUGAAAAAAAAUAGGCAAGCAGUUUUUUCUAUCUGGCAAGCAAAUUUUUUUAUCACUUGCCCGACAGAGCAAGUGAUGAAAAAUCUUUUUGAAGAGGCCUGAAAAUCUAUUUGGAUUUUACAGCCAUUUUUGUCAAAAAUGUUCCAACUAACCCCGAUCUCCUCUAUAAUCAAAGGGUGAUGUAAACAAGAAAAUUAAUGAUGUUUCAAUGUCACAAAGUCAUCAAUCCUGUGUGGAUAUUGAUUUGUGUAAAGCAGGUGAGUCAUUCCACUUGAGAACCAAGAACUAAGUUUUCUCUUAAAUUUAUGUUCCUACAGAGGGUAUAUAGAGUGCUAUUCACAAGAACAAAGCCCUAGAAAAGAGGUUCCAUCGGACAGAUGUGGCCCAGCGGGAAGCGCAGAAUAUGGAGGUAGAUCAGGAAAAGGUUGUUGUCAUGCUGGAGGAUCAACUUAAGAAAUUCAGGUCAGAUGUCCAGAAGAGUCCCAGGAACCAGUGAGGGUAUAUAGAGUGCUAUUCACAAGAACACAGCCCUAGAAAAGAUGUUCCAUCUGGCAGAAGUGACCCAACUGGAAGCGCAGAAUAUGGAGGUAGAUCAGGAAAAGGUUGUUGUCAUGCUGGAGGAUCAACUUAAGAAAUUCAGGUCAGAUGUCCAGAAGAGUCCCAGGAAACAGUGAGGGUAUAUAGAGUGCUAUUCACAAGAACACAGCCCUAGAAAAGACGUUCCAUCUGGCAGAAGUGACCCAACAGGAAGCGCAGAAUAUGGAGGUAGAUCGGGAAAAGGUUGUUGUCAUGCUGGAGGAUCAACUUAAGAAAUUCAGGUCAGAUGUCCAGAAGAUGCCCAGGAAACAGUGGUAAGUUGUGCAGUAUUUAUAAUUAUCAUCUAUGUAGAGUGUUUAGCGAUGCAUUAAAAACGCGUAUUUUGUUCUGCAUCAAUUGCCUGUGCAGUAUCAGAGCAUAUCCCUCAAAAGGACCGAAAUACGACGAAUAUCCCACAGGCUCCUGUACAAAAUUUGUUAUUGAAUAUGAGAGCAUAUUCAACGGCUUAUUAUAUUCACUCGCGUUCGUAAUCACUCGCGUCGGGUUGGUAAUCACACGCGUUUUUGAUUUUUGGCGAUUUUUUUUUUUUUCGGUGCGAUUUUUUUUCUAACGGUGUCUUCAAUGGGACAAACGUACUGGAAAAAUAAAAUAAAAUUGAAAUUCGAGUUUCGUUUUAUUUUAAACUGGUAAGUGCCUUAAAUAAAACGUUCUCGACCACUGUUUUAAGAUAACAAGCAAAUUUUGACUACUGUUUUAACAUAAUCACAUUCCACAUCUUAAAUCUUAGAGCCAUAGGCGGGGGGGGGGGGGCUCCCCCUAAAAAAAGAGAGAGGGGGGAGAAAGGAAGGGAAAGAGGGAGAAAAGAGAAAGAAAAAAAAAGACAGACAGAAAGAAAGAAGCAAGGAAAAAAGGAGAAAGAAAGGAGAAAAGGAAUAAAGAAGAAAAAGGAGGAAAGGCUACUCUCGAUUUAGCUUUGCCUUUGGAGGAUUUUCCUGAAGUCUGUGGUAUUCUUUAUAAAGCAUAGUGAGGUGCUACAAGUUCAUAAUAUCACUAUUUAUUUGCUUCUCCCUUUCUUUGUGAAUUAUUUUACACUAACGUAAAAAUCAGGGAGGAAAAAAGUGCUGAAGAAGAAAAGCAAGAAGGAAGGAGGAGGAGAAGUAGAAGAAGAAAAAAGAAGAUGGAGGACAUAAGGGGGUAAAAAUGAAACUAAAAAGAGAAAAUUGAGGGGAGGAUGUAGAAGAAGAGAAAGAGAAGAUAAAAUAAGGGGAAGACUGAGAAGAGAGAAGGAAGAAGUGAGAAGGGAGAUGAACAAUAAGAUGAAAAGGGAAGAAAUUGAGAA